GUAUUGCAUCAUGGAGAGGGAUGACAAACUGCGUAAAAGGAGAAAUUGAAUCGAGCGCCAAAAACUUUGAAGAUUCAGCAGCUCGCCUCAUCUCAGACGACAACGAUUCAGUGGGAACGGCAGUCACGUCGGUUUCAAUUUGUUAUUGAAACUAUUAUUAACAACCAAGUCAAGACUCGACUACACAAAACGCUGCUGCUGCGAGCCACUUCCACCGUCUGUAACUCCCCAACCGAACCUCGAUGGACAACUGGACCUUUUUGGAUGCACCCAGCGGAAAAGCCCUGUUAUCAUGUCCAUCUUUGCGCACACACAAGCUUUAUAUGGAGCAUGAAUGAAGUCUGCAUCAAUGAGGCCACUGAAGACACCACUGUUGGGAUUUAUGUUUUCAAACAACAUGCUUCUGAUGAACCAGAGGAUGUUGGUGUUGUCCUUGAAAGCAUUAAAGGGAUAGUUCACCCAAAAAAAUCUAAAUACUGUCAUUAAUUACUCACCCACAUGUCAUUCCAAACCUGUAAGACCUUCGUUCAUCUUCAGAAACAAAAAAAAUUAAGAUAUUUUUGAUUUCCUCCAUUAUGAAGAGUCCUUUUUUUUUAUUAUUACUGAUAUCCUUCCUAUGUUUCUGGGUCUUGGAACAUUUCAGUUGCAUUGCUGUCUUCGGAGGGUCAGAGAGCUCUCAGAUUUCAACAAAAAUAUCUUCAUUUGUAUUCUGAAGAUGAACAAAGGUCUUACAUGUUUGGAACAACAUGAAGGGUGAGUUAUUAAUGAAAGAAUUGUAAUUUCUGGGUGAACUAACUCUUUAAGAUGCAUGGUUAACCUUCACAGUGAACUGUAACAAGCUAUUGCUCUAUUUUAACUUUUUCACAUUGUGCAAUGUUUGGAUUACUAUUUUGUAUAUGCGCUUUUAAGUCUACUGUGAUAGUUAAUAUUUUUUACAAAUGUCUUGCUGUUCUUCAUCCAAUUUGUCAAUACAUUAUGUAUUUUUGGUUGAAUAUGCUAUUGAUGCAUUAAAGUGUUUUUUUUAUUAUUAUUAUUCUUCUGUGUAAUCAAUUUAUAGCAACUGUGCUCAGUCCUCCAUUUGUAAAUGUGUAGUUAACAACUCAAUACAAAAAAAAUAAAAGUACCAACUCUUGCUUUUUGCCUUUGUCAAUGCCAGAUGCAAUUUUAGAAUUUUGAUUUUGUAUUCACACAUUUGAACAUGUCUACAGUACAGUACAUGUAGAAUUUAAUGAAGCAAGUUAGGUUUACCCAACUCUGGUACCAGAGACAUAAUGAAAUUGCUUUAGAGUUGCAUAAUAUUUUUGAUUAAUACUAGCAUUAA